UACGAAGGGGGCUAGCGUUGUUCGGAAUCACUGGGCGUAAAGGGCGCGUAGGCGGCCUGAUAAGUCGGGGGUGAAAGCCUGUGGCUCAACCACAGAAUUGCCUUCGAUACUGUUAGGCUUGAGACCGGAAGAGGUAAGUGGAACUGCGAGUGUAGAGGUGAAAUUCGUAGAUAUUCGCAAGAACACCAGUGGCGAAGGCGGCUCACUGGACCGGAACUGACGCUGAGGCGCGAAAGCGUGGGGAGCAAACAGG
rnacentral:rRNA from 1 species